rnacentral:rRNA from 1 species
GCCAAAAAUCUAGCCCAAACACAACAAAUGAACUACCCCCUUCCUUUUAAUACCUAUUAAAACAUUUUAACAUCAUAGUAAAGGAGAUUGAAAUUUUAUCCAGGCGCUAUACCUUAGUACCGCAAGGGAAAGAUGAAAUAAAAAUGAAAACUCAUAAGCACAAAAAAGUAAAGACUAAUCCUUGUACCUUUCGCAUCAUGGUUUAACUAGUCUAACCAAGCGGAAAGACUUUAAGUUUGACCCCCCGAAACUAAGUGAGCUACUCCAAGGCAGCUUUUAGAGCCAACCCGUCUCUGUAGCAAAAGAGUGGGAAGACCUUCGAGUAGGGGUGACAGACCUAACGAACUUAGUGAUAGCUGGUUGUUUGAGAAAAGGAUUUAAGUCCAGCCUAAAAUUACUCCAAUGCACCUUAAUGCUUCAACAAUUUUAGAGUAAUUCAAGCAAGGUACAGCCUGCUUGAAACAGGGUACAACCUAAACCUGAGGGUAAUAUUCUCCAUGCAGUGAUUAAGUAGGCCUGAAAGCAGCCAUCUUUUAAAAAGCGUCAUAGCUUUACCACGUAGGACAUAAUUAUUAACUUAGUUAAGAACCCCACUCCCCUAUCAAACAAUUCUAUAACCCCUAUAGAAACUUUUAUGUUAAAACUAGUAACAAGAAUAAAAAAUUCUCUUUAAUGCAAAUGUAAAUCAGACAGGAUAUUCCACUGAUAAUUAACACCCAUGAUCCAAAAGGAGUAACCCAGCAAGAAAACCCUCCUCCCCCAGGCGUUAACCUAACACAAGAGCAUUCUAAGAAAGAUUAAAAGAGUAAGAAGGAACUCGGCAAAAUUUAACCCCGCCUGUUUACCAAAAACAUCGCCUCUUGAUAAACCCAUAAGAGGUCCAGCCUGCCCAGUGACCCUGUUCAACGGCCGCGGUAUCCUAACCGUGCGAAGGUAGCGUAAUCACUUGUUCUUUAAAUGAGGACUAGUAUGAAUGGCACCACGAAGGUUAUACUGUCUCCUUCCCCUAAUCAGUGAAACUAAUCUUCCCGUGAAGAAGCGGGAAUAAACCUAUAAGACGAGAAGACCCUAUGGAGCUUUAAACACAGUAAUAACUGCCCCUCACCCCUAUGUAUCUCCGGAAAAAACUACCUUACCUGGGCACCCUAAUUACAAGUUUUAGGUUGGGGUGACCGCGGAGCAAAAAAUAACCUCCACAGUGAAUGGGACUCUUCCCCUAAAUUCAGGACCACAGCCCUAAAAAUCAAUAAAUUGACACCCAUUGACCCAAUAUUUUUGAUCAAUGAACCAAGUUACCCUAGGGAUAACAGCGCAAUCCACUUCAAGAGCUCCUAUCGACAAGUGGGUUUACGACCUCGAUGUUGGAUCAGGGUACCCCAGUGGUGCAGCCGCUGCUAAAGGUUCGUUUGUUCAACGAUUAAAACCCUACGUG